UACGUAGGGCGCAAGCGUUGUCCGGAAUUAUUGGGCGUAAAGAACUCGUAGGCGGCUUGUCACGUCGGGUGUGAAAGCCCGGGGCUUAACCCCGGGUCUGCAUUCGAUACGGGCUAGCUAGAGUGUGGUAGGGGAGAUCGGAAUUCCUGGUGUAGCGGUGAAAUGCGCAGAUAUCUGGAGGAACACCGGUGGCGAAGGCGGCAUCCUGGACCGAGAUUGACGCUGAUGCGCGAAAGCCAGGGGAGCAAACGGG
rnacentral:rRNA from 1 species